UAGGGAAUAUUGGACAAUGGAGGAAACUCUGAUCCAGCCAUGCCGCGUGUGUGAAGAAGGCCCUAGGGUUGUAAAGCACUUUCAGUAGGGAGGAAACGCCUACGGUUAAUACCCGUGGGCUAUGACGUUACCUACAGAAGAAGCACCGGCUAAUUUCGUGCCAGCAGCCGCGGUAAUACGAAAGGUGCAAGCGUUAAUCGGAAUUACUGGGCGUAAAGCGUACGUAGGCGGUUGAUUAAGCAGGAUGUGAAAGCCCCGAGCUCAACUUGGGAACUGCAUCCUGAACUGGUCAACUAGAGUACAGCAGAGGAGAGUGGAAUUUCUCGUGUAGCGGUGAAAUGCGUAGAUAU
rnacentral:rRNA from 1 species